UCUUAAGGAUGAGUAAAGAAAGUGGUUUCUUGUGAUGGAGUUCACUCCUGCUAAAGAUGCUGUAAA
rnacentral:pre_miRNA from 4 species